UACGUAGGGUGCAAGCGUUAAUCGGAAUUACUGGGCGUAAAGCGUGCGCAGGCGGUUGUGCAAGACCGAUGUGAAAUCCCCGGGCUCAACCUGGGAAUGGCAUUGGUGACUGCACGGCUAGAGUGUGUCAGAGGGGGGUAGAAUUCCACGUGUAGCAGUGAAAUGCGUAGAGAUGUGGAGGAAUACCGAUGGCGAAGGCAGCCCCCUGGGAUAACACUGACGCUCAGGCACGAAAGCGUGAGGAGCAAACAGG
rnacentral:rRNA from 1 species